UCCAUCGAUUUCUGUUAUUUCGGCUCUGUAUUUGCUGCUCCCCUUGGUGCUUGAACCAUUUCAAUCGCCGAAUCGACUGAGAGGUUUACAGAUGAUUUCCACAAUAACUCAGGGUCAUCGUCGAUCAACCUCGUGUGCAAUACUUUAUUUAUGGCAUUGGAUUGCUGUUUUAUGGAUGCUUUUGCGUGGUGGGCUUGUCUUGCGUUAGCACAGUUUUUGGCAGCUUGACCGAAGUGGUAUCGGAAGUGGUUAUACCGAUUUAGAACCAGCACCGCUUUGUCAGUAUUGGGAAAAGUUGAAGGUGACGUACUAUCUGGCGUCUGCUUUGUCAGCCAUCUGGACACUCAUUCAUUGGCUGCUUUUCUUCUGUACAUACCGCUAUAUGCAUCUAUCUAUCAAUCGGUGCAUCGUUUUUACUAGCUGCCUCAACUACACGAACUACGAAUAUUACAGUUUUAAGUCGGGAAUGUAUUUUACGAAAUGGAAAGAGCGCUUAGGAAUGAUGUGUGACUACUGCUGUCUGUUUUAUGUGGGGUAUGUAAUGUAAGUACACAAGAAAACCAAAAACGCUGAAGUUACUUGUGACAAACUGUUAUGUGCAGACACAGACAUUGUAAUAAUGAACCGUUCUUGAUGUGCGGGAUGUGAUCUGUGUGGCAUAAGAAUCUUUCCAAAUAAUCUAUGGUGACAUUUGAAGUGACUUUAUGAUGUUUUCCGUUUGAAUGAUGGUGGGUGGAUAAAUUUGGUUUCCAUUUGAAUUGCUAUAUGGCAGAGAGAUGGUAAAUUACAAACAUUUCCCACCGGGAAAUAAACAUGCGAUUUCGAACAUGUUAAAACCCAUAAACCUUGCCAACUUCCAUGGAGGAGAAACACAGUGACACGAAAUUCUCGGAAUGUAUUGCAUGGAUGUUUCUAAAAGCCAAAGUUUUCAGUCUGUGAGUAAUGAAUGUAGAGAAUCAGUCUGUGAUGUCUCUACGUUAUCUGUUGCAAUGCAAAGCAGGUAGAAUUUUGGAUGAAUGUAAUUGUUA